GGAGUUUCCAGAACCACUUGUGGUCGCCCUUGAGAUCAAGGUUGGCCCAACCACAGAAGCAAGCUAGCCAGCUGCCAAAGCAGAAGAGCCCUCAAGUGAAGAAGAGUUGGAUUACCAAAUUUUGAAGUAAUUCAAGAGGCCCAGGACCCCAGAUCUUCUGCCUCGCUCCUCAGCCUUUUGCCACUUAGAAGUUCUCUUGCAACUCUACCUAGAAGUGCCAGGAAUUGAAUUUAGAACCUUCCACAAGCAAGAAGAUAGUCUGCAACUGAGCUACAUCGCUCAGUUAGUUGUGCUACAAAUCACAGUGCCUGUGAGAUCCCAGCCACCCACCGACUUAAUUUACCAGAGGCAGAAAUAUAUGUAUUUAUUCAAAUUUGUGUUGUGGACCUGUGCCCUGAAGCCUUUAAAUACUUGGCAAUGCUUCCA